AUCACUUGGGGUUUCUGUGGCCUCCAAACCCUGCAUUCAACUUCACCACCUUCCUCUCUCUGCUGACCCCAGAAGCACUGUCCCCAGGGGACAGGGGACCCCACUCUGCCCCCCAUGGGGUUGACAGCACCCAGGUGUGUGCCGCGUGCAAUGUCUCCCCAGCUUGCCCUCUUGCCGAACUCCUGCUCCUCCUCGAGUACACACCUCAGAUGUCCCUCUUUUAGAGCAGGGAAGGGUCUGGACAAGCUGAUAAUGGCGUGGCACAUGGGGUGAGCUCUGGCUUCCGAUAUAAGCAAGGGAGGAGACCACGGACCUCCCAGGGUGAGCACCAGCUCUCA